rnacentral:rRNA from 1 species
UACGUAGGGUGCAAGCGUUGUCCGGAAUACUGGGCGUAAAGCGUGCGCAGGCGGUGAUGUAAGACAGUUGUGAAAUCCCCGGGCUCAACCUGGGAACUGCAUCUGUGACUGCAUCGCUGGAGUGCGGCAGAGGGGGAUGGAAUUCCGCGUGUAGCAGUGAAAUGCGUAGAUAUGCGGAGGAACACCGAUGGCGAAGGCAACUCCCCUGGGCCUGCACUGGACGCUCCAUGCACGAAAGCGUGGGAGC